UUUGUAAAUUUGUAGUUGUGGGCUAUCCAAUACCUUAUUUCCUUGUAUUUGUGAUUUGUUUCGCCUGAUUGUAUCAGGAAAUCGAGGAAAGGCCUAUUAAUAUGGAUGUACGUAUAUAAAAAUCAUGGAGGCUUACUGCCUCGGUUCCUCCAUUCGGUAGAAACGAUAUGUGCCUGCUGCGUUGGAAAAGCAACAUACAUAUGGUACUGUGAGGAUGAAACUCAUCUGUACCCUAGUGCUUCCUUGAACUGGGAAUUCUUCUCCCGUUAUAUUUAGCGUUUAUUUUUCCAAAAUAAUUAUCAAGAGUGGCCAUUGUUUUCCAGAAUUAUUAUUAUUUUUUUUUUUUAUUGUUAUUCGCGUGUGUGCAUAUGUAUUCUUAGACCUUAUCUAGGUCAUUAGCUUGGCUUAUGGCUCUUUUGGUUACACAUUUAUUGUGUAA